GACGAACGCUGGCGGCGUGCUUAACACAUGCAAGUCGAACGGAAAGGCCCCCACCUUGGUGGGGGUGCUCGAGUGACGAACGGGUGAGUAACACGUGGGUGAUCUGCCCUGUACUUCGGGAUAAGCUUGGGAAACUGGGUCUAAUACCGGAUAGGACCAUGGUUUAGUGUCUCAUGGUGGAAAAAUUAUUGUUUUGGUGCAGGAUGAGCUCGCGGCCUAUCAGCUUGUUGGUGGGGUAAUGGCCUACCAAGGCGUCGACGGGUAGCCGGCCUGAGAGGGUGGACGGCCACAUUGGGACUGAGAUACGGCCCAGACUCCUACGGGAGGCAGCAGUGGGGAAUAUUGCACAAUGGGCGCAAGCCUGAUGCAGCGACGCCGCGUGGGGGAUGACGGCCUUCGGGUUGUAAACUCCUUUCGUUAGGGACGAAGCCACACCUUUUUUGGGUGUGGUGACGGUACCUUUGUUAAGAAGCACCGGCUAACUACGUG
rnacentral:rRNA from 1 species